rnacentral:rRNA from 1 species
GAUCCUGACUCAGGACGAACGCUGGCGGCGUGCCUAACACAUGCAAGUCGAACGGAGAAUUUUAUUUCGGUAGAAUUCUUAGUGGCGAACGGGUGAGUAACGCGUAGGCAACCUGCCCUUUAGACGGGGACAACAUUCCGAAAGGAGUGCUAAUACCGGAUGUGAUCAUCUUGCCGCAUGGCAGGAUGAAGAAAGAUGGCCUCUACAAGUAAGCUAUCGCUAAGGGAUGGGCCUGCGU